rnacentral:rRNA from 1 species
CCUACGGGAGGCAGCAGUGGGGAAUAUUGCACAAUGGGGGAAACCCUGAUGCAGCAACGCCGCGUGAGUGAAGAAGUCUUUCGGUAUGUAAAGCACUAUCAGCAGGGAAGAAGAUAACGGUACCUGUGUAAGAAGCCACGGCUAACUACGUGCCAGCAGCCGCGGUAAACCGUAGGGGGAAAGCGUUAUCCGGUUUUACUGGGGGUAAAGGGAGCGUAGACGGUGAGACAAGUCUGACGUGAAAGCCCGGGGUUCAACCCCGGGACUGCUUGGGAAACUGGCUGACUGGAGUGCUGGAGAGGCAAGCGGAAUUCGUAGUGUAGCGGUGAAAUGCGUAGAGAUUAGGAAGAACACCAGUGGCGAAGGCGGCUUGCUGGAC